rnacentral:misc_RNA from 1 species
AAACCUAAACUGCUAAACAGCUUCCCAAAUCGUAAAAAAAUGUCCGCUCAGUUGACUCAAACGAUCGCAGCACUACGUGUUGGAAAGAGAAGAAAAACAAUAGACCAACGUUUCUUAUGGCAGAGGUACUUUAGCGUGAAGUUGGAAUAAUGAUUCGGUUUAGUAAUUCAGUGAAAUGUUGGCUGUUUUAAUGUCACACUGGCCAACACUUUCCUGAUAAGGACAUUGAACGACAUGUUUCCCAGAUGACGUUGCACCUCCGUUUGGCCUUAUUCUAUCCUUGCCAAAUCUAAUUAUGCAAAGAAUGGAGAGGGCCUAAAUACCUUGCACGAAUUUGCAUUAUUAGCACAUUAAUUCAAACUUGCCUUUCAUAUGCUGGAAUAACCUUUUUUUAAGGAACCAUUUUUUAAAAUCUUUAAAAGAAGGUCAUUGGUAAAAAUUCAUCACGACGUUUACCGUCGUCUUCAUGACACAGUUUCGUACGAUUUGGUUAGCACUAGCAUCGCGAAAAGGCUGAAUUCCAUUACCAUGCAAGAACAAAGGAAGUGAUUAAGCUAGUCUAUUGUUCUUUUUAUUUUGAUUUGAUUAUUUUUUGGUUUUUUUGUUUUUACUUGCAUACUACAGAUACUACAGCUCUAAAAUAGAUUACAUUGAGAGCGGAAGCAGGAUCCAUUACCCAAUAAAAAAGAAAAGAAAAGAGGUUCCAAGAAACUACGGCCGUCCAUCAGAAAACUAGAUCACUUUUCAGCGGUUUGUCAGCGUCUUCUCGUACAGGAUGCUUACGCAUUAACGAAGAGAGGAUUAUUUUUGAAAAGAGGCGGAUGAGAUUCUAGUGGUGGUAUCGGUCUGAUGAAGAAGCACAAUUUACGUGAACAGACAUUGCCGUGCAACAUUGGUCACUCAAAGAACAAAGACAGUAGGGCCUAUCCUUUUCCAUUUGCAAUAAUUACCAUUGGCUCUAUUGGAAUUAGAUCACUUGCUUUGAUUUGUAAAUGCAGAAGGUAUCUCCAUUUAUGACUAAAGCCAUAAAUGGUGACAAUGAGAUAGGUGGCAAUUUGCCAAAAAAAAGAACAAAACAAACUAGGUGGUCUGAACGUCCUUGUUGGGGGCUGUAGGGCUUCCUUCUUAGGGCGUAGCCUUCACAAUUUUCGUGAUCUAGAUUUUUUUUUAAAUCUAAUAAUCUCUGUUGGCACGCGCCAAACUUAUGUACCAAUUUCCAAGGGAUUUUACAUUUGAAGUAUCAUUCAUUCCUAAAUUUAUUGUUCUUUGUUUUAUUAUUCGAUUUAGUCAGGGCAGCGGAAGUUUCCCGAAAGUGGAACUUCUAUGGAACCUCUUCUUUUCUACUGGCUAGGAACUGCCUGUAAACAUCGUCUAAAUUGGGGAGUUAUUUAUGCAUGUGUAUCACGCACUAAUUCCCUCGACUUGGCCGGCUUUGAUUUUACAUGGAACUUCCUGAACAGUGAAACGAGAAGUUCCACAGAAAUAUCAGCAAAAAUUUCUCUGCAACAGGCAAACGAGCUUCGCUAAUCACGGCGAUUUUCGCAGCGUGAGUUUGGCUAUAACAUGGAAGGAAGUAAAUGGUCUUGUAACACGAAGACGAGUCACCGACUUGAUUAAUAAUUGGGGUAGCCCAUCGCGGUAAGUAGAAGAUGAUGCAACUCGGAAGAAAUCUAGUUGGAGAAGAAAAAAGAGAGAUGCUGAGAAAAUUGAACAUCGCGGCUGAAACCGCAAAGGAUGGAGCAAAAAAUAUCGGUCAGUGGUGAGUUGCCUCACGUAUUUCGUAAACGGGUUCAAUGGAUCUCCAGGAGCGUGACGGUUCCUCCUAUACACGCGCCCACUGCGGGAAGGCUGCUGGUCGCAAAUAAACCCAUUCUUCUGUAUA